AUGGCGGCGCACGUGUUGGCCUUCCCGUGGCCGCUGCAAGGCCACAUCAACCCCAUGCUCCACCUCGCCUCCGCCCUCCUCGACGCCGGCCUCCGCGUCACCUUCCUCCACACGGAGCACAACCUCCGCCGCUUCACCCGAGUGCCGCCACAUCACCCGCGCCUCCGCCUGGUGUCCAUCCCCGACGGCCUCCCCGACCACCAUCCCCGCUCCGUGGGCGGCCUCAUGGAGCUCGUGGAGUCCAUGGGCACGGCGGGCAGCGCAGCGUACCGCGCCCUGCUGCUACGGAUGGUGGACUCGGACGACGACGACGCGGUGACGUGCGUCAUCGCCGACGGCGUGAUGCCGUUCGCCGUCAGCGUCGCCGAGGAGCUCGGCGUCCCGGCGCUCGCGUUCCGCACGGAGAGCGCGUGCGGUUUCCUCGCGUAUCUGUCCGUGCCCAGGCUCCUCGAGCUCGGCGAGACGCCCGUCCCUUCCGACGAGCAGACCAACAGCCGCUUCGUGGGGGCCGUGUGA
rnacentral:rRNA from 1 species